GUGGGGAAUCUUCCGCAAUGGACGAAAGUCUGACGGAGCAACGCCGCGUGAGUGAUGAAGGAUUUCGGUCUGUAAAGCUCUGUUGUUUAUGACGAACGUGCAGUGUGUGAACAAUGCAUUGCAAUGACGGUAGUAAACGAGGAAGCCACGGCUAACUACGUGCCAGCAGCCGCGGUAAUACGUAGGUGGCGAGCGUUGUCCGGAAUUAUUGGGCGUAAAGAGCAUGUAGGCGGCUUAAUAAGUCGAGCGUGAAAAUGCGGGGCUCAACCCCGUAUGGCGCUGGAAACUGUUAGGCUUGAGUGCAGGAGAGGAAAGGGGAAUUCCCAGUGUAGCGGUGAAAUGCGUAGAUAUUGGGAGGAACACCAGUGGCGAAGGCGCCUUUCUGGACUGUGUCUGACGCUGAGAUGCGAAAGCCAGGGUAGCGAACGGGA
rnacentral:rRNA from 1 species